GGAAGUGUUAGACUUCGACACUACCUAUGCCAAGAAAACGCUAAAUGAACAGGCCCGUCAAAAAGUACUGACCGCUUAUGUCUCCACUGCCUAGGACCGUGCCAUCAGCCCCUGUCGGAAAUAAGCUCUUCUACGACAGCACCUUCCAGGAGCAGGUGGCCGAGGCAUUCAGAGCCUAUUUGGGAGAACACAUCACUGUAAAAAU